rnacentral:rRNA from 1 species
CCAGAGAUGGAUUGGUGCCUUCGGGAACUCUGACACAGGUGCUGCAUGGCUGUCGUCAGCUCGUGUCGUGAGAUGUUGGGCUAAGUCCGUAACGAGCGCAACCCUUGUCCUUAGUUACCAGCGCGUUAUGGUGGGCACUCUAAGGAGACUGCCGGUGACAAACCGGAGGAAGGUGGGGAUGACGUCAAGCCAUCAUGGCCCUUACGGCCUGGGCUACACACGUGCUACAAUGGUCGGUACAAAGGGUUGCCAAGCCGCGAGGUGGAGCUAAUCCCAUAAAACCGAUCGUAGUCCGGAUCGCAGUCUGCAACUCGACUGCGUGAAGUCGGAAUCGCUAGUAAUCGUGAAUCAGAAUGUCACGGUGAAUACGUUCCCGGGCCUU